rnacentral:lncRNA from 1 species
UCUUGACGUCGAUAUGUCUCAGAUGCUUGACACAUCGAUCCUGACCAUCACCAUUGUCUCAUUCUUUGCAUACCGUCAGCAACUCCAUUCCUAGAGAUGUUUGCAUCUUAGGCUUGAGCUACCUACAGCGUAAAUAAAACUGAUUAUGAUUCACUGAGAAUUUCAUAUUUACUGAUUAGAGUAUAGGGAACAAUAAGCAGCAUCCAUGAAGCACAUCCUAGGGGCAUAAGGUUAAAGAAAUAAUGUGUUGAAACAAACGUUGAUAUGCAUAUGCAAUUCCGACAGAGAAAUCAUUUUGUAACUACGGGUAUGUAUAUGCAUGGAGUUUCAGAACAAAUACACAUUAGCUAAGAAGAAAAUGAAUGGAUAUUGGUUAACAAAGUAAUAGUGUUCUUGUUAACUUGCAAGAGAUGAUCGGCAGCAAAACAGAAGAUUGUAGAAAAUGCUAAGAAUAAAUAAACAACUUACAAUCCUUAGUCCAAGUUUUGCUUCUCAAAGAAAUGAAGCGCUCACUCUCUUAGAAUUUGGUGCAAAACAUACUACAAUCUGAGAAAUAAGCUUGUAAUUUUGCCCAAAACAACUAAAUUUGUGGAUGAAAUCAAAAUCGAACACAUGGUCUAAUUUUAAUUCUGUUUGGAACAUUCGGUACAAUUUGGCAUCCGCUUUCUCAAAGUAUAAAGUUUCUUUGUUGUUUUAUGAGCAUUAACAUCAAAGGUUAUGCCAGAAAAUAGCACAUACGAUGCUGUUCAACGAGAUGCGAUGUUAUAGAUUUAUGAUCUAGAUGCUGACAUAAGUGCACAACAAACAAUCUUGGUCGAUAAAUACUCCAGAAGCACAUUUACAUAUAAAGUCUGGUUUAUGCUAGGGAAAAUUAAUAAGGAAUAACAUCAAUGAACAAUACAUUUUCAAAGCUUUACAAGUUACAUACACCGACAGACUUGCAUGCAUGCUUGAAAAAAUUAGAGCAGAUACCCCUUUUCAAGUACCAGUAUAUAGUAUAUACAUAUACACCCAGCCCUUCCAAAAAAAUACCGAGAUUAGAUUUUCUACCUCUCUUUAUGAGUAUAAACCUUUUGAUUCACUGCAUAUACCAUUUUCUUGAAUGGAACUGAGGUAAUGUCCAGUAGAAGUUUCUAGAUUAUUUUGUUAUCCAGUAAAUAUCCAGUCAAAUAGAUCAAGAAAUAUUGAAUGCCCUUGAUGGUACCAAAAAUAAAUGAAAAUCCAACUCACAACUAUGGUGGAGGGGCUAAUCGAAGAAUGGGUGUUCACCCCAAGAUCAGUGUGAAGUUAAGCAGGUUUUGAAUCUAGUCAGACCCUAUGUGCCCCAAAAUCAUAUUUAGGAUAAGCAAUCAAGUAUAUAUACUCCACCAACUAAACAAUUUGCAAAGAGAAAAUUUUAUAAAGCUUUGAUAUAGAUGCAUCUGAAGUCAUGAACUAGAUCGGCGGAACACUUUUUUGAUAUACCUGUCAUAGUGCCUUGAUUGUCGACAGGAGAUGCUUUCUUCUGAAUAUGCAAUAGAUAAUUGAGCUUUGUCGGUGCCGAUUGCUGCUGAUAUCUCGGCGUGACCAAGUCCCAUUGAGCAUCCUUUCUGAUUUAAAUCCCAGGAAGAUUUGGAUAAAGAGCAAACAGGAACAAGAACAACAUGAAAUUUGACAAUUAAAAACUUAAAAGAAGGAACACCAGAUAUUAUAUACUACAAACAUGCAAAAGUAUAGAGAUCCUCCAGGGAGAAGUAAUUGUUGCACUUCAACACCCAGAGUAAACCUCAAUAGUCAAAACACCUUAAAGAGCAACAGUUCUAAUACGGAGUACAACUCUAGUUUCAUUAGCUAUCUCUGUAAUAAUUUAUAAAAUCAAUUUCCAUGCAAUGUUCCUAUCCUCAAUGAAUUGUCUAUAGGAAACGUAAGAACUACUUGAUGUCUAUUAAUAACAGAUCCAUCUUUCUAUACCAGCAAAUUACUAAUUAAAAUCCCAGGAUUUUUUCCCAAUUAAAUACCUGCUUCUCGUGUGAAUAUAUAUACAAUAGGGAGCAAAGUUAAAAAUUCAGUUAAGAGAACGGACCUUACUAUUUUUGGACUUCUCGAUCAACAAAUGAUUUUGAUUGCUGACCGAUACAUGCACAAAUUAGUAAUUCCAGAAAAUUUACCAAGCAAAAAUCCAGAAUCGUUUUGCAACUA